rnacentral:rRNA from 1 species
UACGGGGGGGGGCAAGCGUUGUUCGGAAUUACUGGGCGUAAAGGGCUCGUAGGCGGCCAACUAAGUCGGAUGUGAAAUCCCCAGGCUUAACCUGGGAACUGCAUCCGAUACUGGAUGGCUUGAAUCCGGGAGAGGGAUGUGGAAUUCCAGGUGUAGCGGUGAAAUGCGUAGAUAUCUGGAGGAACACCGGUGGCGAAGGCGGCGAACCUGGUCCGUU